rnacentral:rRNA from 1 species
CUACCCUCGGUGGGGAAUAACUCUUCGAAAGGAGAGCUAAUGCCGACAUGUGCAUCACUCUCGCAAGGGAGUGAUGGAAAGCCGUACCGUGGGUGCGGCGCCCAAGGAUGAGCUCACGUCCUAUCAGCUUGUUGGCGGGGUAACGGCCCACCAAGGCUGCGAUCAGUAACUGGUGUGAGAGCACGACCAGUCACACGGGCACUGAGACACGGGCCCG